GUGCUCACUUCAAGCACAUAUACUAAAAUUGGAAUGAUACAGAGAAGAUUAACAUAGUCCCU
rnacentral:snRNA from 1 species